AGCGCUCUCGGUCUUAGCGCCAUCUUCCUUGAGACUCCUGCGCCAUGAGAGCGAAGUGGCGGAAGAAGAGAAUGCGCAGGCUGAAGCGCAAGAGAAGAAAGAUGAGGCAGAGGUCCAAGUAAGCCAGCCUGUGCACCUACGACGCCUGCAGGAGCAGAAGUGAGGGAUGCUGAGGGCCGGGACAAGCUAUCGGACUGUGUGCUGCCAUCGGUAAUGAGUCUCAGUAGACCUGGAACAUCACCUCGCCGCGAUCGCCUGGAGAAAUGACCGCCUUUCUUACAACCAAAACAGUCCCUCUGCCCUGGACCCCCGGCACUCUGGACUAGCUCUGUUCUCUUGUGGCCAAGUGUAGCUCGUGUACAAUAAACCCUCUUGCAGUCAGCUGAAAAAAAAAAAAAAAAAAGAAA
rnacentral:lncRNA from 1 species